GGGGAUGCUGGAACCUGCGGUUGAGUGAGAAACCGGCGCCACUGCCUGCGUCUUGGUCUCGGGCUGGUGGCCAGCGGGGUCUGGGCUGUGGUUUUACCCAGCUCCUUUGCGAAGCUGCUGUCCUUUCCUCAACGUUACCACCCGGCUGGGCAGCCUACCCUCGCAGCAACAGGUGUGCACCUUCCAAGCUUGCAACAGACCACAUUCAGAAGCUUGAUUUCCUGUUGUUCUGGGAAUAUCUGGAUCAGAGGUAACAUGGUUCACUAGGACUCCUCAGCUUCACCCAGUGUCCAUUUCACCUCCCCCGGCCUUCCAAUGUCUCUUCUUGCAGAUUUCUCCAAGCCACUCUCCCCUUCAUCUCCUCCACCCCCAGGACCCAACUCCUGCCCCUCCCACCCUAGCCCCUGUUCUCCCUGCCCAUCUCCUACCCCACUGGAGUGGCCUUUCAUCAAACCUAAACCAAAGAAACCAACAGACCUUGCUGUCACCACUACUCCGGGACCUGG
rnacentral:lncRNA from 1 species